rnacentral:rRNA from 1 species
GAUGAACGCUGGCGGCGUGCCUAAUACAUGCCAGUCGAGCGAACAGACGAGGAGCUUGCUCCUCUGACGUUAGCGGCGGACGGGUGAGUAACACGUGGAUAACCUACCUAUAAGACUGGGAUAACUUCGGGAAACCGGAGCUAAUACCGGAUAAUAUAUUGAACCGCAUGGUUCAAUAGUGAGAGACGGUUUUGCUGUCACUUAUAGAUGGAUCCGCGCCGCAUUAGCUAGUUGGUAAGGUAACGGCUUACCAAGGCAACGAUGCGUAGCCGACCUGAGAGGGUGAUCGGCCACACUGGAACUGAGACACGGUCCAGACUCCUACGGGAGGCAGCAGUAGGGAAUCUUCCGCAAUGGGCGAAAGCCUGACGGAGCAACGCCGCGUGAGUGAUGAAGGUCUUCGGAUCGUAAAACUCUGUUAUUAGGGAAGAACAAAUGUGUAAGUAACUAUGCACGUCUUGACGGUACCUAAUCAGAAAGCCACGGCUAACUACGUG